ACUACUUAAAUCUUCAACAUCAACCUCAUAAAUUUCAAAUAAUAUUCGGAAUCUAUGGUACAUAUCUAAUUUACCAACUAUCAAUUGUCCCUGUAGGUAAAAGCAACCGUAUCAUCCAAAUUUCAGAGCAAUAACUCCUUCCCUUACCUUAACAGAAAGGGUAAAAUAACUUAAGCCAAAAGACUCGGUGGUUGCAGUUCUCGCAGAUCAGUAUGCUAAAUACAAUCUACAGAUGGUUUACUCGAAAAAUAAGCAGGUUACAUCUAACUGAAUCAUCAACCACAGAGAAAACAAACUCAGCAGCAAAGAUUUUACGUCUAGCUUGAGCCAACCAAGAGUGGUCAAAACAAUUGCAACAUUAGACUCGUCAGGAAGGUCUCAAUUCCUGUAAGGAUGAAACCUUCCACCUGCAGCACCACCAUUACCGUAUGCUCUAGCACCUCCAGUGCUACCCCCGCUUUCAUACCCUUUAGCAUUAAAAGAUGCAGAACUUCUAGCCCCACCAUACCAGCUACCAUCAUCACUGCUUGUGUAUCCUCUACCGCUACCAUACCCAGCAGCACCACCAUAGCUUCCAGGAGCACCAUAGCUAGUGGCUCCGUAUCCAGCUGCCCCAUACAUAGCUCCACUAAACCCAAAUCCAUAACCAUAUCCACCAUAUCCAGAGAAAUAUCCUGCACCGCCUCCGCCAUAACUUCCUCCAAUGUUUCCAUAACCCCCAUAGCCAGCACCAGCGCCGCCGCCGCCAUAACCAGCGCCGCCGCCAUAGCCUCCAUAUCCACCAUAACCUCUACUGUAUCCACCACCAUACGCUCCUUCAGACCCACCAAAGUUAUUAUACGAUCUUGAACCACUGCCACCACGAUGCUGCCUGCUCUCAAUUGCAUUUUCAGCACCAGCUCUUUUUGGCUCAGCCCUCUUAAUUUCAACUUGUUUGCCAUGGAUUUCAUGCAUACGGCCAUUGUUUAGAACUUCUUCAACGGCAUUUUCACUAUCAAAAGUAAUAAAACCAAAGCCUCGGGAUCGACCACUCUCACGGUCCAGCAUGAUUUGUUGCUCCAGAACAUGGCCAUAAGAAGAAAAAUAUUCCUUCAACUCAUCUUCAGUUAAAGUUAAUGGAAGACCGCCAACAAAAAUUUUCUUUGUUUUCGGAGAUCCUUUAACUUGCAUGUCCUCCUUAGGUACUGUCCUCUUCACUUCCACCGUUCUACCGUCUAUGAUGUGCUCUUCCUCUAAAACCUUAUUUGCAGCUUCUGGGUCCGCAAAUGUUACAAAGCCGAAUCCCCGUGGCCUUCCAGAGACCUUAUCCAUCAUUAUUACACAAUCUGUUAUCUCUCCAAACCUGCUGAAAUACUUCCUAAAAGAUUCUUCUCUGGUCUCCCAAGCAAUGCCUCCGACGAAAAGCUUUCCUGCAGAAGAAUCAUCGAGUGAAUGCUUUAAUUCAUGUCCUGCACUACCAUCGUUUCGUUCCUGCUCUUCUGAGAAAUUUUGCUCAGCUACAUAAUCCAUUGGUUCCUAUUCUUUCUCUAACUACGAAGAUACCUUGACAAAUACCAGAGGCGUAGGUAGCUUGUGAAUUUAGUCGAAACUGAAUACUGAGGAGAGUAACGGAAGGCCGAGAGUGCCUGUAAUUGCAAAAACCCUAGCUGCUUUGCUCUUCUUACUGUUUAGUUAGACGGGGAAGUUG
rnacentral:misc_RNA from 1 species